rnacentral:rRNA from 1 species
CUUGCUAAGUUUGGUGGCGACCGGCGCACGGGUGAGUAACACGUAUCCAACCUGCCGAUGACUCGGGGAUAGCCUUUCGAAAGAAAGAUUAAUACCCGAUAGCAUAAUGAUUCCGCAUGGUUUCAUUAUUAAAGGAUUCCGGUAAAGGAUGGGGAUGCGUUCCAUUAGGUUGUUGGUGGGGUAACGGCCCACCAAGCCUUCGAUGGAUAGGGGUUCUGAGAGGAAGGUCCCCCACAUUGGAACUGAGACACGGUCCAAACUCCUACGGGAGGCAGCAUG